UUCCAUACUAAAAGAAGCUAUCCCAGACUA
rnacentral:piRNA from 1 species